rnacentral:rRNA from 1 species
CAAUAGCGUAUAUUUAAGUUGUUGCAGUUAAAAAGCUCGUAGUCGGAUUUUGGCUGAGAACGAUCGGUCCGCCGUUAGGUGUGCACUGAUUGGUCUCAGCUUCCUGGUGAGGAGGUGUGCUUCACGGCCACUUAGUCACCGUGGUUACUUUGAAAAAAUUAGAGUGUUCAAAGCGGGCUUACGCUUGAAUAUAUUAGCAUGGAAUAACACCAUAGGACUCCUGUCCUAUUUCGUUGGUCUCGGGACGGGAGUAAUGAUUAAGAGGAACAGUUGGGGGCAUUCGUAUUUCAUUGUCAGAGGUGAAAUUCUUGGAUUUAUGAAAGGCGAACUUCUGCGAAAGCAUUUGCCAAGGAUGUUUUCAUUGA